rnacentral:rRNA from 1 species
GGUGAACGCUGGCGGCGUGCUUAACACAUGCAAGUCGAACGAAAAGGCCCUGCUUUUGUUGGGUGCUCGAGUGGCGAACGGGUGAGUAUCACGUGAGUAACCUGCCCUUGACUUUGGGAUAACUCUAGGAAACUGGGGCUAAUACCGGAUAGGAGCUCCUGCUGCAUGGUGGGGGUUGGAAAGUUUCGGCGGUUUGGGAUGGACUGGCGGGUUAUCCGCUUGUUGGUGGAGUAGUGGCUUACCAAGCCUUUGAAGGGUAGCCGACAUGAGAGGGGGACCGGGCACAUUGGGACUAAGGGAGGCCGCAGUCGCCAACGGGAGGCAGCAGGCGAGAAUCUGACGGAAUGGGGCGGAGUGGGAGGCGGCGACGUUGCGUGCGGGAUGAUGGGUUACGGGGGGUGAACCGCUGUCGCCGGUGAAGUGGCCGGAGUGACGGUACUGGGUCAAGAAGCAACGGCUAACUACGUG